UAAUAGACAGUUUUAUCAUCUUUACCUUGGAAUGUUGCGCUUCUCCCUGGGGCUGGCGCCCGGGGAUGUCACCUCCCUGUGACUGAGUUACUGCUCUCCCUAGGGGCUGGCGCCUGGAGACACCACCUCCCUGAAACUGGAGAAUUUCCACUUUUACACCAUCAGACACUGGUGAGUGGCUUCCUUCUGCUCCUGGUGUGAACUUGAACAAGCCAUUGGACCUUCUUGGGCUUCCGCAUCAUCCUUGACGUGUCAGGCAAAUAACUGGUGACUGCUCCUUCCACGCUCAUGCACAGGGAGCAGCAAAAGGACAAAAGGAACAGAAAAGACCUGGUAAGCAGAGACCCCAGUCGUCUUCCUCUGAGAUGCCCAGUUCAGAGGGCUCCCAUCCCCCCAGCAAAGGGGCCAGCUGUAAGGAACUUCCAGCUGUUUACCUCAGAAUCUGUCAGACUCCUGUGGUUGGGGCAUGGGAUGCAGGGAGGAGAGGAGAGACUGGAGAUGAUUCAGUGUCUGAGCAUGUAGAGUGGGUGGAGAUGAAGGCUGUGGGUUGACAUACUUGGUAGGUAUGGUCAAGGCUGUUAUGAAUGCAGCCUCCUCCCUCCCCUCCAGCUAGCUGCAGCCCGGAGCGAGGAGAGACACAGAGAACCAAGCAUGGAGAAUUAGAUGGAGAGGGGACAGGUCCAUUUUGGGAAGCAGGGGCCAGAGGGUUGGGGGCUGUACAGGAAGUAGGACAACCAGCCAACUAUCCCUGGGAUCUGUGUCCUAUGAAAGACAAUGAGGUCCCAGCUUGAGAUUUGUCCUUACACACCCUCUGCUGAAUGCCUGGGAGCCCCUGAGAAUCCGGGGAGAAGGGAUUUUGGAGACCUCAAGGACAACUGCUUUGCUUCACAAGUGAGGAAGGGGAGGCCGCGAAAGAGGAUGGAAUGUGCUCAAGUCCUCAGAACUUGUUCCUACGAUGAUCCUCACCCUCCGGAGCUCUAAGGUUCCCCAUCCAGAAAUCCUGUGCACUCCACCGACCUCUCUGAAGGCUUUCGAGGCGGCUCGUCACCGGGAUCCUGAGGCUGGCUGUGUGACCUGGAGCUUCCUCACUCAGGUUCUCCUACCUCAUGGGGGGAUGUCUGUAAAGCACCUGGCGCUCAGUAGAGUCCCCUUCCCUUUUUCUCCACCUCAGUUUGAGGCACAAUCCCUGGUUUCUAGACCCCUUUGUACCAGGCCAGCACCGGAUGGUCGUGUGGCCUUGAAGGCAGGCAUCCUCUCCUAGGAACGCCUGCUUCCACCGCAGGCUGACGCUCCUUCCGGACGGAGCUGCUCUCUCCUGGCUCGAAUACAAGCACUUCCCAGAGCCUCCACCUAGGUCCCAUUUCCAGAGCAGCUCAGUUCAUUUGUAGAGCAGAGAUGUCUGAUAGACUCUCACCCAGUAAACAACUUAGGUCCUGGCUUAGCUGAGCAGCUCCUCCCUUCCUCAGAUGCUUGCUCCCGGGAAGGGUCGAUAGAGCAGCCCCCUCCAGCUGAGUUCUAAAUGUCCCAGCUUGACGGCAGUCUGCGAUCAUUCCAUGCUGGACACAGCCACAAGCCAGAGGGGCAGCCAAGCCCAGGCACUGUCCCAUAAGCCUCUCCAGCCUCCCUUCCCAUAAUUACACCUGCUCUUUUAAGAAUCAGGUGGGGUUGCUGGGCAGAUGCUGCAGCAUUCUUGAAAGGCUCCCACCCACAGCCAGGAAACCAGGAUAUCCCUUUAGACACAGUGGAUCCCUGGGAGCUAGGAGCAAGGGCAGGGGAAGGAGGCUGAAGCCUUUAGAGAGAUGUGGGCAAUACUCUUUCCUGCCCCAGUGCCUUUGCACACACGGGGUCUGUGCCAAGAAGUUGCUUUCUUCAUCUGUGAAUCUGGGGAACGUCUUCCCGUUGCCGAAGUCUCAGUUUGCACUGCACCUCUCUGAAGUCCUCCCUGACACAGCCAUCCACCCGCCUCCCCAGUUAAUUAACCCCUUGCUCCUUUCUGUAUUUUCGAAGAAUUCACAUCCAGUAUGAUGCUCAUCUCUCCUUUCAGACUGUGCGGUGCUCCGGGGCAGCUCUGUGGCUUCGUGGUCCCAGAACUAAUAAAAAGGAAAGCACCAAUAGA